UACGGGGGGGGCAAGCGUUGUUCGGAAUUACUGGGCGUAAAGGGCUAGUAGGCGGCCAACUAAGUCAGACGUGAAAUCCCUCGGCUUAACCGGGGAACUGCGUCUGAUACUGGAUGGCUUGAGAUUGGGAGAGGGAUGCGGAAUUCCAGGUGUAGCGGUGAAAUGCGUAGAUAUCUGGAGGAACACCGGUGGCGAAGGCGGCAUCCUGGACCAACACUGACGCUGAAUAGCGAAAGCCAGGGGAGCAAACGGG
rnacentral:rRNA from 1 species